GUGAGGAAUUUUCCGCAAUGGGCGAAAGCCUGACGGAGCAAUGCCGCGUGAAGGAUGAAGGCCUAUGGGUUGUAAACUUCUUUUCUCAGAAAAGAAUUAUGACGGUAUCUGAGGAAUAAGCAUCGGCUAACUCUGUGCCAGCAGCCGCGGUAAGACAGAGGAUGCAAGCGUUAUCCGGAAUGAUUGGGCGUAAAGCGUCUGUAGGUUGUUUAAAAAGUAUUCUGUCAAAGAUUAGGGCUUAACCCUAGAUAGGCAGAAUAAACUUUUAAGCUAGAGUUUGGUAGAGGCAGAGGGAAUUCCCGGUGGAGCGGUGAAAUGCGUAGAUAUCGGGAGGAACACCAAAGGCGAAGGCACUCUGCUGGGCCAAUACUAACACUGAGGUGCGAAAGCAUGGGGAGCAAACAGGAUUAGAAACCACUGUAGUCC
rnacentral:rRNA from 1 species